CACGUAGGGGGCAAGCGUUGUCCGGAUUUAUUGGGCGUAAAGAGCUCGUAGGUGGUUCGAUAAGUCGGGUGUGAAACCUCCAGGCUCAACCUGGAGACGCCGCCCGAUACUGUCGUGACUAGAGUCCAGUAGGGGAGCGUGGAAUUCCUGGUGUAGCGGUGAAAUGCGCAGAUAUCAGGAGGAACACCAGCGGCGAAGGCGGCGCUCUGGGCUGGCACUGACACUGAGGAGCGAAAGCGUGGGGAGCGAACAGG
rnacentral:rRNA from 1 species